UGGUGGAGUGAUUUGUCUGCUUAAUUGCGAUAACGAACGAGACUUUGACUUUUAAAUAGCUAGGCUAGCUUUGGCUGGUCGCCGGCUUCUUAGAGGGACUAUCGGCUCAAGCCGAUGGAAGUUUGAGGCAAUAACA
rnacentral:rRNA from 1 species